UAGAAAAAUUAGUACACAAUUUUCAAAACAUGAUGUUAAUCAGUAAAUAGUUAAUAAAGAUGCAAAAUAUAAUUCAUAAAUAAAUCAUCUAACUAUACAAUAUACACUUGUAAGCAUAGUGAUAUAUAUGAUGUUCAUCAAUAUAUAAAUCAUGGCUGUGUGAUACACACUUGAUAAACAAAUCAUGCAAAAAAGAGGAGGAAAAAUAGAUUUA
rnacentral:lncRNA from 1 species